ensembl:lncRNA
AUUUUAGGGUUCCUGAACCUGAUCCUAUGGGUCGGCGGCUGCUGGUUCGUCUAUAAGGAGACCCCGUUCCAUCGCCCCCCAUCUGCCGGCCCCACAACCGCCCCCGGUGCCAUAUAAACCCCCCCCCCAGCCCCAUAAGUGUGGGGCAGCCCCACUCCGUGACCCCAAAUGGGGGCACCGCUGUCAGCACUGCCUUCUUUUGUAUCCUAUGGGGUGAUUUGGGGUCGCUGUGGGGUGGGGGCUGCUAUGGGGCAGAGAUGCUAUGGGGCAGAGUGGCUAUGGGGUCAGGUUGCUAUGGGGUUGGGGCUGCUAUAGGGCAGAGUGGCUAUGGGGCAGAGCUGCUAUGGGGUUGGGGCUGCUAUAGGGCAGAGUGGCUAUGGGGUGAGGCAGUGGGGUGGGGGCUGCUAUGGGGUACAGCUGUUAUGGGGUCAGGCUGCUAUGGGGUGGGGGCUGCUAUAGGGCAGAGCUGCUAUGGGGUAGAGCUGUUAUGGGGUCAGGUUGCUAUGGGGUUGGGGCUGCUAUGGGGCAGAGUGGCUAUGGGGUCGGGUUGCUAUGGGGCAGAGCUGCUAUGGGGUUGGGUCUGCUAUGGGGUGGGGGCUGCUAUGGGGCAGAGUGGCUAUAGGGUCAGGCUGCUAUGGGGUUGGGUCUGCUAUGGGGUGGGGGCUGCUAUAGGGCAGAGCUGCUAUGGGGUAGAGUGGGUAUGGGGUCAGGCUGCUAUGGGGUGGGGGCUGCUAUAGGGCAGAGUGGCUAUGGGGUCAGGUUGCUAUGGGGUGGGGGCUGCUAUGGGGUGGGGGCUGCUAUAGGGCACAGUGGCUAUGGGGCAGAGCUGCUAUGGGGUCAGGUUGCUAUGGGGUGGGGGCUGCUAUGGGGCAGAGUGGCUAUGGGGCAGAGCUGCUAUGGGGUUGGGGCUUCUAUAGGGUGGAGUGGCUAUAGGGUCAGGUUGCUAUGGGGUCAGGUUGCUAUGGGGUUGGGGCUGCUAUAGGGCAGAGUGGCUAUAGGGUCAGGCUGCUAUGGGGUUGGGGCUGCUAUGGGGUCGGGCUGCUAUGGGGUGGGGGCUGCUAUAGGGCAGAGCUGCUAUGGGGUAGAGCUCUUAUGGGGUCAGGCUGCUAUGGGGUCAGGUUGCUAUGGGGUUGGGGGCUGCUAUAGGGCACAGUGGCUAUGGGGCAGAGCUGCUAUGGGGUUGGGUCUGCUAUGGGGUGGGGGCUGCUAUAGGGCAGAGCUGCUAUGGGGUAGAGUGGCUAUGGGGCAGAGCUGCUAUGGGGUCGGGUUGCUAUGGGGUGAGGGAUGCUAUGGGGUAGAAUGAUUAUGGGGUCAGGUUGCUAUGGGGUGGGGGCUGCUAUAGGGCACAGUGGCUAUNGCUAUGGGGUAGAAUGAUUAUGGGGUCAGGUUGCUAUGGGGUGGGGGCUGCUAUAGGGCACAGUGGCUAUAGGGUCAGGCUGCGAUGGGGUUGGGGCUGCUAUAGGGCAGAGCUGUUAUGGGGUAGAGUGGUUAUGGGGCAGAGCUGCUAUGGGGUUGGGGUUGCUAUAGGGCAGAGUGGCUAUAGGGUCAGGUUGCUAUGGGGUUGGGGCUGCUAUGGGGUGGGGGCUGCUAUGGGGUAGAGUUACUAUGGAGAACGGUUGUUAUGGGGUGGGAGAAGCUAUGGGGCGGGGGCUGCUAUGGGGCAGUGAUGUGGCACUGAGGUCGGGUUAUGGGGUUGGGUUGGUGUGUGGGGUUGGGAUUAGGAUUGGGAUUAGGAUU